rnacentral:rRNA from 1 species
CGCCUGUUUAUCAAAAACAUCGCCUCCUGCAAAAAACAACAUAUAGGAGGUCUUACCUGCCAGUGACAAGUUAAACGGCCGCGGUAUUUUGACCGUGCGAAGGUAGCGCAAUCACUUGUCUUUUAAAUGAAGACCUGUAUGAAUGGUGGAACGAGGGCUUAACUGUCUCCCCUUUCAAGUCAAUGAAAUUGAUCUACCCGUGCAGACGCGGGUAUAAAAAUACAAGACGAGAAGACCCUUUGGAGCUUAAGAUGCAAAAAUCAACUAUGUCAAGAACCAUACAAAUAAGUUAAACUAAAUAGUACCUGAUUCCAAUCUUCGGUUGGGGCGACCACGGGAGAAAACCAAGCUCCCAUGAGGACUGGGGUAAAACCCUAAAACUAAGAAAGACAUUUCCAAGUCACAGAACAUCUGACCAUAAAGAUCCGGACACACCGAUCAACGAACCAAGUUACCCUAGGGAUAACAGCGCAAUCCCCUUCCAGAGUCCAUAUCGACAAGGGGGUUUACGACCUCGAUGUUGGAUCAGGACAUCCUAAUGGGUGCAGCCGCUAUUAAGGGUUCGUUUGUUCAACGAUUAAAGUCCU